rnacentral:rRNA from 1 species
UACGGAGGGUGCAAGCGUUACUCGGAAUCACUGGGCGUAAAGGACGCGUAGGCGGGCUUGUAAGUCAGAUGUGAAAUCCUAUGGCUCAACCAUAGAACUGCAUUUGAAACUACGAGCCUAGAGUAUGGGAGGGGGAGAUGGAAUUAGUGGUGUAGGGGUAAAAUCCGUAGAUAUCACUAGGAAUACCGAAAGCGAAGGCG